UGAUGUUAAGUGUCAUGGGAGUAUGAAUGGCGUUAGAGUCGGAUGAGAGAAUGUCCUCCUGUGAAACUAGAAAGGAAAGUGGAAGACUGAAGCCCAGGGAGGAAGCAUUGCAAUCACAUCAGGGAGGUUCCUGAGAUCAUUUUCUACUGUGCAACCUAUGGAUUUUUUUGGAAACUGAGAACAGUUACUUUUAGUUACUUUGAUAUAAUUGUAGCAAACAAUUGACACAAUUUUUUUCUAAACAAAUAUUCACUCUUUUAAAUGCUUUUGCAUGUUUUCUUAUUUAAUAAUCAAGCUACUUUGUAUAUACGUACAAAUGCAUGAAAAUGAAUACAAUUUUACAAGGUAUGUAAACAUUGAAAAUAUA